CCACGGUCGCGCGUCCCACAGCUCCCUUCACGUCCGUUCCUCCGUUUCCCCACCUUGGGAGGGCCAGGACUUCCGAGGCUUUAGGGGGCAGGAAGCUGCGAGAAGGUGGCGCUUGCUUAGAAACCUGGACCCCUACUGAAUGGAUCUGCUGGCACCUAGACCUCAGAGAAGGGGGAACUGAAGACUGAAGUCUGACCACUGUUCUUUGUUGAAAAUUUCUUUCUCAGGGGCUUGGAGGGAUCACAUCUACAAUCCUGAGCUAAUAUUCUCUUCUGCUGUCCCCAAAAUUUAAACGAAGCUUCUCUUAACCCAUUGCAAAUGAGAAAAAUCUUUGAAUCUACCUAUGACUAUAAGCCCUUAUUUCAAGAUAUCCUGCCUUUUUAGGCCAGAACCAAAG
rnacentral:lncRNA from 10 species